rnacentral:snRNA from 1 species
GAACUCGCUUUAGCGGUACAUAUACUAAAAUUGGAACAAUACAGAGAAGAUUAGCAUCGCGCUGAGCAAAGAUGACGCGCCAAAUCGUGAAGCGUUCCAUAUUUCU